ACCUCCCUCCUCCACUCUUCAUAUUUUUCUUCUUCUUGCAUUUUACAUAUAAACCUUGUGAGAUUUGAAUGAUCUUUGAGAGAGUUUUAGUAGAUCAAUUUAAGAGAUGAUUAAAGAAAAGAUUAAAGCUUGAGGUUGAAAGUGUGAACGAGAUAGAGACCUAGUCGAGAGAGAGACAUACCGUUCUCAUGUAGCGUUAGUUGAAUGUGUUUGACGCUUGCUAAGGCUGUUAGCAAUUGGGGAUAGUUAAGGUAUCCUGGUGUCGUGAAGACUUGCAAGAUGUGAAUGUCUUUGGCUAGGAGUUCAAAAUCAGCUUAGGGUUUUGUUUCAGAGUGUUGUCUGUGUUUGUUUGGGAAGUUUGUUGUUAAAGCUGAAUGCUUAAUUUGUGUGUGUGGUUUUGACCUUUACUUGUUGUCAAAUACUCUGUACGCAAUUAUAUUCAAGUGGUCAAAAAUUUUAUGACCUUGGGCAUUGCGCUGGGCCUAUUUAUGGAAAAGACUUAGACCGAACAGCUCGUACUCUGAUUUAUCAUUUUUAUUAUUCCUAAAAGGACAGUGGUCCAUAUUUUGUAAGGCAUUAAUUUUGAAAAAAAAUACACUCGCGCUGUUAAAAAUCGGGGUGUUACAUUGUGGUAUCAGAGCUUUGGUCUAGAUUUUCACGGGGCUUUGUGAGUCGGGUGUCCUAAGCUGAUUAAGUGUUGGGUUUAGUGGGAGUAAAUGUUUGGAUUCCUAUAUGUUAUGUGUUAUGUGCUUUGUGUGUUGAGUCAAGCAUGAUAUAUGCUUAGGUAAUCGAUUGUUUCUUAAUUGAAGUUAAUGUACCCUAUAGUACUUCAGUAAAAAGGAUAGUUAAAACCCUAG